UAAGGAAUAUUGGACAAUGGAGGCAACUCUGAUCCAGCCAUGCCGCGUGAAGGAAUAAGGCCCUAUGGGUUGUAAACUUCUUUUAGACGGGACAAAACCCCUUUACGUGUAAAGGGUUGAUGGUACUGUCAGAAUAAGCAUCGGCUAACUUCGUGCCAGCAGCCGCGGUAAUACGAAGGAUGCAAGCGUUAUCCGGAAUUAUUGGGUUUAAAGGGUGCGUAGGCGGACUAAUAAGUCAGUGGUGAAAGCCUGCAGCUUAACUGCAGAAUUGCCAUUGAUACUGUUAGUCUUGAGUACAGUUGAGGUAGGCGGAAUGUGUCAUGUAGCGGUGAAAUGCUUAGAUAUGACAUAGAACACCAAUUGCGAAGGCAGCUUACUACACAAUCAUUGACACUGAGGCACGAAAGCGUGGGUAGCGAACA
rnacentral:rRNA from 1 species